GCUUAAUAAAUUCAGCUCAUUGAGGACAUUAUGGGGUCUAAUCAGGAUUUUUUUUCAUUUACAUUGUCCCCAUUUUUCAAUCAUUCAUUGAAAAUGCAUUAUUUAGUUCUUCAAACUAAUUUAUUUCCUUCAAACUGAUUUAAACCGUUUUGAUUCUUCAAACCUCUUUUUCUUCCAGAUUUGUAACCUUUUAAUUCUCCAGUUUUAAAUAUUUUUUACUCUUAAUACAUUAUUCAGUUCUUUCAAACAAAUUCCAACUCAUUUAAACUGAUUCAAAACUUAUUGGUUCUUCAAGCCUUUCCCAUACUUCAGGGUUUUUAAUCAUUUUAAUUUUCAGAUGUUGAAUUUUCUAAAACUGUUAUUCAUGCAUUAUUCAAUUCAUUCAAUUGAGUUUAUUCCAAUUGAUUCAAAUCUUCCUGAUUCUUCAUACCUUUUGACCUUUCACAUAUUUUAAAAUUCAGCCAUUCGCAAUAGCAGCGUAGCGCUAGCAAUUUCAACUGAAGCAAUCCCACUCGCAAUUUCUUCAGAAAUUGCAUUUUCUAGUUAUUAUUAUUAUUAUUAUUCCGCCGUUUUUUGGCAGUCAACUACUUCCACAUACUUCAACGUAUUCAAACCAUUCAAACUUCAAAAGAUUCAUCUCGUUGAGGAGAUUCCGGCUUGUAUUCAAAAAUUUCCUAACAUUCAUACUUUCCGAGAUAUUCCAGGUUUUCCGACCGAUUUCUCCCAUUAGAAAUGCAUUACGGAAUGUUCAAAUUGGCUUCAAACUUCAAAAGCCUUCAGCUCCUCUAUACUUCCACAUAGAAACUUCAUUCAAAAACCAAAAUAUUCACAAAUUCGUCAGCAUUAUUCCACAUCUUCAACAUUUUUAAUCCCAUUUGUACGUUUCAAAAUAUUAAGAUUUGUUUAAAACUUCGUUAUAAUGGCAGUCAAUGGGAAAAGGGCUUCAGACGUAGUCAACUUCAACCUCUUCUCAUUCAUUCAUACUUUCACCUAGAAACUUCAUUCAAACUUUAAAAUAUUCACACAUCUUCAGACAUUCACUCAUUCAUUCACCAUCUUCAUGGCAUUCAUACUUUUCUCACAGUGACAGUUCAAAAAGUCCAAAGAUUUUCAUACCUGUUCAGGUUUUAACAUUAGUGUGUAUUGCACGGAAUGUUGGCAGCUAGAGUGGGUGACCUCACAGCUAGAGUGAGACAGGCUGAAAAUUAAUCCUCAAAACUUUGUCUUUACAAAAGGAUUGUGGCAACUCACUUCGCUCUACACAGAUAAAAAUUGGUACAGUGAUGGCAAAACUCGCUGUCACUCUUCAUCUAAAAAAUCAAAGCCAUAGGACACACACAGUGGCCUGGGCAGACACCAACUGCCACAGACAUCCCCCAAAUUUCUCCAGCUUUCUCCAUUGACUCCAAUGUAAACCUGAGAGGAGGAUUUUCAGAGGAAACACAAACUGGACAUGUUUUUAACUUGUCGUAGUGAAGGCAUUUUUGGCUCCACAGACACCGAAGUUGUAUCAACGUGUUCAGCCGGGUCUUGUGGUUCUCACAAGCUCAUUAUCAUGAAGAUAGCAGUUACAGAGGAUGAGAAAUAUGACGUUGUUUGGGCAUUACGUUCUCAGCCUCAAGCCUCCUUUCUCCUGCUGUUGUUAAGCAUCUAUCGUCACCAUGGCAACCAAAGGGAGCACCUGGAGACACACAGCUGGCUGGAAAGCUGCUUCUAACAGCCAUAUGAGACACAUGAAGCCAGGCUCAGUACACAGAGUACUGGGGGUUACAUUUAAAACCCUUCAAUAGAGUUAUUUGACGAACUUUGUCAUCUAUCUCUUCGCACAAACCUUGAGCUACAGAAACCAUCCAGCGCUUAAUAAAUUCAGCUCAUUGAGGACAUUAUGGGGUCAAAUCAGGAUUUUUUUUCAUUUACAUUGUCCCCAUUUUUCAAUCAUUCAUUGAAAAUAAAUUAUUUAGUUCUUCAAACUAAUUUAUUUCCUUCAAACUGAUUUAAACCGUUUUGAUUCUUCAAACCUCUUUUUCUUCCAGAUUUGUAACCUUUUAAUUCUCCAGUUUUAAAUAUUUUUUACUCUUAAUACAUUAUUCAGUUCUUUCAAACAAAUUCCAACUCAUUUACACUGAUUCAAAACUUAUUGAUUCUUCAAGCCUUUCCCAUACUUCAGGGUUUUUAAUCAUUUUAAUUUUCACACAUUGAAUUUUCUAAAAUUGUUAUUCAUGCAUUAUUCAAUUCAUUCAAUUGAGUUUAUUCCAAUUGAUUCAAAUCUUCCUGAUUCUUCAUACCUUUUGACCUUUCACAUAUUUUAAAAUUCAGCCAUUCGCAAUAGCAGCGUAGCGCUAGCAAUUUCAACUGAGGCAAUCCCACUCGCAAUUUCUUCAGAAAUUGCAUUUUCUAGUUAUUAUUAUUAUUCCGCCGUUUUUUGGCAGUCAACUACUUCCACAUACUUCAACGUAUUCAAACCAUUCAAACUUCAAAAGAUUCAUCUCAUUGAGGAGAUUCCGGCUUGUAUUCAAAAUUUUCCUAACAUUCAUACCUUCCGAGAUAUUCCAGGUUUUCCGACCGAUUUCUCCCAUUAGGAAUGCAUUACGGAAUGUUCAAAUUGGCCCUUUUCUCACAUUUUCUUCACACAACUUCAAAAGCCUUCAACUCCUUUAUACUUCCACGUAGAAACUUCAUUCAAAAACCAAAAUAUUCACAAAUUCGUCAGCAUUAUUCCACAUCUUCAACAUUUUUAAUCCCAUUUGUACUUUUCAAAAUAUUAAGAUUUGUUUAAAACUUCGUUAUAAUGGGAUUCAAUGGGAAAAGGCUUUCAGAUGUAGUCAACUUCAACCUCUUCUCAUUCAUUCAUGCUUUCACCUAGAAACUUCAUUCAAACUUUAAAAUAUUCACACAUCUUCAGACAUUCACUCAUUCAUUCACCAUCUUCAUGGCAUUCAUACUUUUCUCACAGUGACAGUUCAAAAAUUCACAUGAUUUUCUGGCCUGUUCAGGUUUUAACAUUAGUGUGUAUUGCACGGAAUGUUGGCCACUAGAGUGGGUGACCUCACAGCUAGAGUGAGACAGGCUGAAAAUUGAUCCUCAAAACUUUGUCUUUACAAAAGGAUUGUGGCAACUCACUUCGCUCUACACAGAUAAAAUUUGGUACAGUGAUGGCAAAACUCGCUGUCACUCUUCAUCUAAAAAAUCAAAGCCAUAGGACACACACAGUGGCCUGGGCAGACACCAACUGCCGCAGACAUCCCCCAGAUUUCUCCAGCUUUCUCCAUUGACUCCAAUGUAAACCUGAGAGGAGGAUUUUCAGAGGAAACACAAACUGGACAUGUUUUUAACUUGUCGUAGUGAAGGCAUUUUUGGCUCCACAGACACAGAAGUUGUAUCAACGUGUUCAGCCGGGCCUUGUGGUUCUCACAAGCUCCUUAUCAUGGAGAUAGCAGUUACAGAGGAUGAGGAAUAUGACGUUGUUUGGGCAUUACGUUCUCAGCCUCAAGCCUCCUUUCUCAUGCUGUUGUUAAGCAUCUGCUGUCACCAUGGCAACCAAAGGGAGCACCUGGAGACACACAGCUGGCUGGAAAGCUGCUUCUAACCGCCACAUGAGACACAUGAAGCCAGGCUCAGUACACAGAGUACUGGGGGUGACAUUUAAAACCUAUCUCUUCGCACAAACCUUGAGCUACAGAAACCAUCCAGGGCUUAAUAAAUUCAGCUCAUUGAGGACAUUAUGGGGUCUAAUCAGGAUUUUUAUUCAUUUACAUUGUCCCCAUUUUUCAAUCAUUCAUUGAAAAUGCAUGAUUUAGUUCUUCAAACUAAUUUAUUUCCUUCAAACUGAUGUAAACCGUUUUGAUUCUUCAAACCUCUUUUUCUUCCAGAUUUGUAACCUUUUAAUUUUCCAGUUUUAAAUCAUAUUUUACUCUUACUGCAUUAUUCAGUUCUUUCAAACAAAUUACAGCUCAUUUAAACUGAUUAAAACCUUAUUGAUUCUUCAAGCCUUUCCCAAACUUCAGGGUUUUUAAUCAUUUUAAUUUUCAAACGUGGAAAUUUCAAAAUUAUUAUUCAUGCAUUAUUCAAUUCAUUCAAUUGAGUUUAUUCCAAUUGAUUCAAAUCUUCCUGAUACGUCAUACCUUUUGACCUUUCACAUAUUUUUAAAAUUCAGCCAUUCGCAAUAGCAGCAUAGCGAUAGCAAUUUCAACUGAAGCAAUCCCACUCGCAAUUUCUUCAGAAAUUGCAUUUUCUAGUUAUUAUUAUUAUUAUUAUUCCGCCGUUUUUUGGCAGUCAACUUCUUCCACAUACUUCAACGUAUUCAAACCAUUCAAACUUCAAAAGAUUCGUCUCAUUCCGGAGAUUCCGGCUUGUAUUCAAAAAUUUCCAAACAUUCAUACUUUCCGAGAUAUUCCAGGUUUUCCGACCGAUUUCUCCCAUUAGAAAUGCAUUACGGAAUGUUCAAAUUGGCUUCAAACUUCAAAAGCCUUCAACUCCUCUAUACUUCCACGUAGAAACUUCAUUCAAAAACCAAAAUAUUCACAAAUUCGUCAUCAUUAUUCCACAUCUUCAACAUUUUUAAUCCCAUUUGUACUUUUCAAAAUAUUAAGAUUAGUUUAAAACUUCGUUAUAAUGGCAGUCAAUGGGAAAAGGGCUUCAGACGUAGUCAACUUCAACCUCUUCUCAUUCAUUCAUACUUUCACCUAGAAACUUCAUUCAAACUUUAAAAUAUUCACACAUCUUCAGACAUUCACUCAUUCAUUCACCAUCUUCAUGGCAUUCAUACUUUUCUCACAGUGACAGUUCAAAUAGUCCAAAGAUUUUCAGACCUGUUCAGGUUUUAACAUUAGUGUGUAUUGCACGGAAUGUUGGCCGCUAGAGUGGGUGACCUCACAGCUAGAGUGAGACAGGCUGAAAAUCGAUCCUCAAAACUUUGUCUUUACAAAAGGAUUGUGGCAACUCACUUCGCUCUAGACUGAUAAAAUUUGGUACAGUGAUCGCAAAACUAGCUGUCACUCUUCAUCUAAAAAAUCAAAGCCAUAGGACACACACAGUGGCCUGGGCAGACACCAACUGCCGCAGACAUCCCCCAGAUUUCUCCAGCUUUCUCCAUUGACUCCAAUGUAAACUUGAGAGGAGGAUUUUCAGAGGAAACACAAACUGGACAUGUUUUUAACUUGUCGUAGCGAAAGCAUUUUUGGCUCCACAAACACAGAAGUUGUAUCAACGUGUUCAGCCGGGCCUUGUGGUACUCACAAGCUCCUGAUCAUGAAGAUAGCAGUUACAGAGGAUGAGAAAUAUGACGUUGUUUGGGCAUUACAUUCUCAGCCUCAAGCCUCCUUUCUCCUGCUGUUGUUAAGCAUCUAUCGUCACCAUGGCAACCAAAGGGAGCACCUGGAGACACACAGCUGGCUGGAAAGCUGCUUCUAACAGCCAUAUGAGACACAUGAAGCCAGGCUCAGUACACAGAGUACUGGGAGUGACAUUUAAAACCCUUCAAUAGAGUUAUUUGACGAAAUUUGUCAUCUAUCUCUUCGCACAAACCUUGAGCUAUAGAAACCAUCCAGGGCUUAAUAAAUUCAGCUCAUUGAGGACAUUAUAGGGUCUAAUCAGGAUUUUUAUUCAUUUACAUUGUCCCCAUUUUUCAAUCAUUCAUUGAAAAAGCAUUAUUUAACUCUUCAAACUAAUUUAAACUCCUUCAAACUGAUUUAAACCGUUUUGAUUCUUCAAACUUCUUUUUCUUCCAGAUUUGUAACCCUUUAAUUUUCCAGUUUUAAAUAUUUUUUACUCUUAAUGCAUUAUUCAGUUCUUUCAAACAAAUUAUAACUCAUUUGAACUUGUCCUUCUUUCUUCUGCUGUAAUGAUGUAUUUACCUUCAGCAUGGCAA
rnacentral:lncRNA from 1 species